rnacentral:rRNA from 1 species
GUUUGCGACGCCCAACACACAAAACAAGCGGUGAAUGCUUUGGGGUGGGGUGACUGCGUACCUUUUGUAUAAUGGGUCAGCGACUUAUAUUCUGUAGCAAGGUUAACCGAAUAGGGGAGCCGGAGGGAAACCGAGUCUUAAUUGGGCGUUAAGUUGCAGGGUAUAGACCCGAAACCCGGUGAUCUAGCCAUGGGCAGGUUGAAGGUUGGGUAACACUAACUGGAGGACCGAACCGACUAAUGUUGAAAAAUUAGCGGAUGACCUGUGGCUGGGGGUGAAAGGCCAAUCAAACCGGGAGAUAGCUGGUUCUCCCCGAAAGCUAUUUAGGUAGCGCCUCGUGAAUUCAUCUCCGGGGGUAGAGCACUGUUUCGGCUAGGGGGCCAUCCCGGCUUACCAACCCGAUGCAAACUGCGAAUACCGGAGAAUGUUAUCACGGGAGACACACGGCGGGUGCUAACGUCCGUCGUGAAGAGGGAAACAACCCAGACCGCCAGCUAAGGUCCCAAAGUCAUGGUUAAGUGGGAAACGAUGUGGGAAGGCCCAGACAGCCAGGAUGUUGGCUUAGAAGCAGCCAUCAUUUAAAGAAAGCGUAAUAGCUCACUGGUCGAGUCGGCCUGCGCGGAAGAUGUAACGGGGCUAAACCAU